rnacentral:rRNA from 1 species
GACGAACGCUGGCGGCGUGCUUAACACAUGCAAGUCGAACGGAAAGGCCCUGCUUUUGUGGGGUGCUCGAGUGGCGAACGGGUGAGUAACACGUGAGUAACCUGCCCUUGACUUUGGGAUAACUUCAGGAAACUGGGGCUAAUACCGGAUAGGAGCUCCUGCUGCAUGGUGGGGGUUGGAAAGUUUCGGCGGUUGGGGAUGGACUCGCGGCUUAUCAGCUUGUUGGUGGGGUAGUGGCUUACCAAGGCUUUGACGGGUAGCCGGCCUGAGAGGGUGACCGGCCACAUUGGGACUGAGAUACGGCCCAGACUCCUAUGGGAGGCAGCAGUGGGGAAUAUUGCACAAUGGGCGGAAGCCUGAUGCAGCAACGCCGCGUGCGGGAUGACGGCCUUCGGGUUGUAAACCGCUUUCGCCUGUGACGAAGCGUGAGUGACGGUAAUGGGUAAAGAAGCACCGGCUAACUACGUGCCAGCAGCCGCGGUGAUACGUAGGGUGCGAGCGUUGUCCGGAUUUAUUGGGCGUAAAGGGCUCGUAGGUGGUUGAUCGCGUCGGAAGUGUAAUCUUGGGGCUUAACCCUGAGCGUGCUUUCGAUACGGGUUGACUUGAGGAAGGUAGGGGAGAAUGGAAUUCCUGGUGGAGCGGUGGAAUGCGCAGAUAUCAGGAGGAACACCAGUGGCGAAGGCGGUUCUCUGGGCCUUUCCUGAUGCUGAGGAGCGAAAGCGUGGGGAGCGAACAGGCUUAGAUACCCUGGUAGUCCACGCUGUAAACGGUGGGUACUAGGUGUGGGGUCCAUUCCACGGGUUCCGUGCCGUAGCUAACGCUUUAAGUACCCCGCCUGGGGAGUACGGCCGCAAGGCUAAAACUCAAAGGAAUUGACGGGGCCCCGCACAAGCGGCGGAGCAUGCGGAUUAAUUCGAUGCAACGCGUAGAACCUUACCUGGGUUUGACAUGGAUCGGGAGUGCUCAGAGAUGGGUGUGCCUCUUUUGGGGUCGGUUCACAGGUGGUGCAUGGCUGUCGUCAGCUCGUGUCGUGAGAUGUUGGGUUAAGUCCCGCAACGAGCGCAACCCUUGUUCACUGUUGCCAGCACGUUAUGGUGGGGACUCAGUGGAGACCGCCGGGGUCAACUCGGAGGAAGGUGGGGAUGACGUCAAGUCAUCAUGCCCCUUAUGUCCAGGGCUUCACGCAUGCUACAAUGGCUGGUACAGAGAGUGGCGAGCCUGUGAGGGUGAGCGAAUCUCGGAAAGCCGGUCUCAGUUCGGAUUGGGGUCUGCAACUCGACCUCAUGAAGUCGGAGUCGCUAGUAAUCGCAGAUCAGCAACGCUGCGGUGAAUACGUUCCCGGG